AGACGGAGGGCGCAAGCGUUGUCCGGAUUUAUUGGGUUUAAAGGGUGCGUAGGCGGCCCGUUAAGUCAGUGGUGAAAGGUAUCAGCUUAACUGAUGAAGUGCCAUUGAAACUGAAGGGCUUGAGUACAGACGAGGUAGGCGGAAUUUAUGGUGUAGCGGUGAAAUGCAUAGAUACCAUAAAGAACACCGAUAGCGAAGGCAGCUUACUAGACUGAGACUGACGCUGAGGCACGAAAGCGUGGGGAGCAAACAGGAUUAGAAACCCCAGUAGUCC
rnacentral:rRNA from 1 species